GUGUCAUCGCCUCCAUCUCCUUCCUCUGGCCAUCAAGCUUUUUAGUUUGUAGAGGAGGAGUGUAGAGGAAGCAGGGGUCAGGUAAUUGUCAGAAAAGAAGUAGAGGUCGGAAUGAAACAAUAGAAAUUGGAGGGUAGGAGAAUGUGUUUUCAAAGUUAUUUGAAGCAAGUGAGGGCAUUUGGUCAUUGAAAUAGCAAUUGGAGGGUAGCAGUGUAUACUUUCAAAGUUACGUGAAGCAAGUGAGGGCAUUUGGUCAUUUGAAUUGGCAGGCUAACAACGUUUGCUAGUUGGUUGCAGGCUCGAAGAAUCCAUUUGAAAAUUUCUAAAAAUAAAAGAUGUGUGAGAAUGUCCAAACUUGAGAAGAUGAAACUAUAAUUUUUCUAAAUUAUUAAAUAUUGCUAUCAUAUUUGCCUCUAAACUAUGUCUCUUCAAUUUUCUUCCCUCAAUAUCUCCUUCAGUUGUGGUGUGAUAAUA
rnacentral:lncRNA from 1 species